AUAACACUUGGAAACAGGUGCUAAUACCGUAUAACAACAAAAUCCGCAUGGAUUUUGUUUGAAAGGUGGCUUCGGCUAUCACUUCUGGAUGAUCCCGCGGCGUAUUAGUUAGUUGGUGAGGUAAAGGCCCACCAAGACGAUGAUACGUAGCCGACCUGAGAGGGUAAUCGGCCACAUUGGGACUGAGACACGGCCCAAACUCCUACGGGAGGCAGCAGUAGGGAAUCUUCCACAAUGGACGAAAGUCUGAUGGAGCAAUGCCGCGUGAGUGAAGAAGGGUUUCGGCUCGUAAAACUCUGUUGUUAAAGAAGAACACCUUUGAGAGUAACUGUUCAAGGGUUGACGGUAUUUAACCAGAAAGCCACGGCUAACUACGUGCCAGCAGCCGCGGUAAUACGUAGGUGGCAAGCGUUGUCCGGAUUUAUUGGGCGUAAAGCGAGCGCAGGCGGUUUUUUAAGUCUGAUGUGAAAGCCUUCGGCUUAACCGGAGAAGUGCAUCGGAAACUGGGAGACUUGAGUGCAGAAGAGGACAGUGGAACUCCAUGUGUAGCGGUGGAAUGCGUAGAUAUAUGGAAGAACACCAGUGGCGAAUGCGGCUGUCUAGUCUGUAACUGACGCUGAGGCUCGAAAGCAUGGGUA
rnacentral:rRNA from 1 species